ACGAACGCUGGCGGCAUGCCUAACACAUGCAAGUCGAACGAAGGCUUCGGCCUUAGUGGCGCACGGGUGCGUAACGCGUGGGAAUCUGCCCUUAGGUUCGGAAUAACAGUUAGAAAUGACUGCUAAUACCGGAUGAUGACGUAAGUCCAAAGAUUUAUCGCCUGAGGAUGAGCCCGCGUAGGAUUAGCUAGUUGGUGUGGUAAAGGCGCACCAAGGCGACGAUCCUUAGCUGGUCUGAGAGGAUGAUCAGCCACACUGGGACUGAGACACGGCCCAGACUCCUACGGGAGGCAGCAGUGGGGAAUAUUGGACAAUGGGCGCAAGCCUGAUCCAGCAAUGCCGGGUGAGUGAUGAAGGCCUUAGGGUUGUAAAGCUCUUUUACCCGUGAUGAUAAUGACAGUAGCGGGAGAAUAAGCCCCGGCUAACUCCGUG
rnacentral:rRNA from 1 species